GACGAACGCUGGCGGCGUGCUUAACACAUGCAAGUCGAGCGGAGAGGCGAACGGGUGAGUAACGCGUGAGUAACUGCCCCCCUCUCUGGGAUAAAAGUUGGCAACGGCUGCUAAUACCGGAUAGUGGGGGAUGACUCGCGUCCUAUCAGCUUGUUGGUGGGGUAGUGGCCUACCAAGGCGACGACGGGUAGCCGGCCUGAGAGGGCGACCGGCCACAUUGGUCUGAGAUACGGCCCAAACUCCGACCGGAGGCAGAAGUGGGGAAUAUUGCACACUGGGGGAAACCCUGAUGCAGCAACGCCGCGUGCGAGAUGAAGGCCUGCGAGUUGUAAACCGCUUUGAGCCAUGACGCGGUAGUGGCAGAAGAAGCACCGGCUAACUACGUGCCGGCAGCCGCGGUGAUAG
rnacentral:rRNA from 1 species